UGAAUUGACGGGGCCCGCACAAGCGGUGGAGCAUGUGGUUUAAUUCGACGCAACGCGAAGAACCUUACCAGGGCUUGACAUCCCCUGACCGCGUAUGAAAGUACGUUUUCACCCUCGGGUGACAGGGAGACAGGUGGUGCAUGGUUGUCGUCAGCUCGUGUCGUGAGAUGUUGGGUUAAGUCCCGCAACGAGCGCAACCCCUACGUUUAGUUGCUAACGCGUGAAGGCGAGCACUCUAGACGAACUGCCGUUGACAAACGGAGGAAGGUGGGGAUGACGUCAAAUCAUCAUGCCCCUUAUGACCUGGGCUACACACGUGCUACAAUGGUUGGUACAACGAGUUGCGAGUCGGUGACGGCGAGCUAAUCUCUUAAAGCCAAUCUCAGUUCGGAUUGUAGGCUGCAACUCGCCUACAUGAAGUCGGAAUCGCUAGUAAUCGCGGAUCAGCACGCCGCGGUGAAUACGUUCCCGGGCCUU
rnacentral:rRNA from 1 species